GUUUUUUCUUUUUUUUUUGACAGAAGGAUGAAAGUUUUACUUAUAAAAUGAAAAAACCAAAUUUCAUAUUUUACAUGCAAAUGACAAAAAUAUGACUCAAAUUCUUAUGUUUGUUUAUGCUUUCAUCAUCUUUCUUUCUUUACUUUUUAUUGUAACCAACAGUGAUGGUGGUGAAUUUCCUUGCAAUACAGAUUAUGAUUGUCCAGAGGCAAAACCCCCUUUAUAUUUUAAAUGCAGGUUUUAUAUUUGUAGACUCUAUCGACCGAGAACGUAACACUAUACGUAUGAUGUAUGUUAUUUAGAUCUUUAAUGUAAAAAAUAAGUAAUUAUGGUUUCCAAAUUUUUGACUUCAUUUGGUUGAAAUUCCAUGGUUGAUCAAAUAAGACUUCUCAAGAAAUACACUGGGUAUUUAUAAUUAUAGAUUUAGAUGAUAGUUUCUUGCUUU